rnacentral:rRNA from 1 species
UAGGGAAUCUUCCACAAUGGACGCAAGUCUGAUGGAGCAACGCCGCGUGAGUGAGGAAGGUUUUCGGACCGUAAAGCUCUGUUGUUGGUGAAGAAGGAUAGAGGUAGUAACUGGCCUUUAUUUGACGGUAAUCAACCAGAAAGUCACGGCUAACUACGUGCCAGCAGCCGCGGUAAUACGUAGGUGGCAAGCGUUGUCCGGAUUUAUUGGGCGUAAAGCGAGCGCAGGCGGAAGAAUAAGUCUGAUGUGAAAGCCCUCGGCUUAACCGAGGAAUUGCAUCGGAAACUGUUUUU